UACGUAGGGGGCUAGCGUUGUCCGGAAUCAUUGGGCGUAAAGAGCGUGUAGGCGGUCCGGUAAGUCCGCUGUGAAAGUCGGGGGCUCAACCCUCGAAUGCCGGUGAAUACUGUCGGGCUAGAGUGCGGGAGAGGCGAGUGGAAUUCCUGGUGUAGCGGUGAAAUGCGCAGAUAUCAGGAGGAACACCAAUUGCGAAGGCAGCUCGCUGGAACGUAACUGACGCUGAGACGCGAAAGCGUGGGGAGCAAACAGG
rnacentral:rRNA from 1 species